UAUACAUAGGUGUUGUGCAUAAAAGAUUUUGAAUCUUUAGGGGUAAGUAUUUUUAUAAUGUAUAA
rnacentral:tRNA from 1 species